CAUUGCUGCCCUAAGCGAUGAACAGGGCAGGGCGUGUGGUAUUGCAGUUAACUAUGUGUCAUCUGGUCAUCAUAGUGAUUGGUAGAUUAAAACCGUUAGCCACCUCUGAAUUCAUAUCGAAGUCAUGCGAGCUGGUCUUUUUCUGCUUGGAUCUCCAGGUUGUGGGAAAACACUAAUGACAAUUUAUUUUGAGAUUGCCAUAUUCUUUCUACCUAAUUUGUGUUCUGUAUAAACUGUACAAUGUUUCCUUUUCUGGAACUUUAGGGGCCUGAUCAAUUGAACAAGUAUAUUGGGGAGAGCGAAUCAGAAGUAAGGAAAAUAUGAACCCGUGCAAGCACUAACUCACCAUACAUCCUAUUUUUUUGAGGUAAAACUAAGUAGUUGUGGCCGCUUUGGAUGAGAGAACCCAAUUCCUGGUACAGUAAAAUGCCAACACAUAUAUGAUUGAUGUUAUGGCACUAUACUUGA